rnacentral:tRNA from 1 species
GGCUACUUAGCUCAGUUGGUCAGAGCACAUCACUCAUAAUGAUGGAGUCGCAGGUUCAAAUCCCGCAGUAGCCACCA